GAUGAACGCUGGCGGCGUGCCUAAUACAUGCAAGUCGAGCGAACAGACGAGGAGCUUGCUCCUCUGACGUUAGCGGCGGACGGGUGAGUAACACGUGGAUAACCUACCUAUAAGACUUGGAUAACUUCGGGAAACCGGAGCUAAUACCGGAUAAUAUAUUGAACCGCAUGGUUCAAUAGUGAAAGACGGUUUUGCUGUCACUUAUAGAUGGAUCCGCGCCGCAUUAGCUAGUUGGUAAGGUAACGGCUUACCAAGGCAACGAUGCGUAGCCGACCUGAGAGGGUGAUCGGCCACACUGGAACUGAGACACGGUCCAGACUCCUACGGGAGGAAGCAGUAGGAAAUCUUCCGCAAUGGGCGAAAGCCUGACGGAGCAACGCCGCGGGAGUGAUGAAGGUCUUCGGAUCGUAAAACUCUGUUAUUAGGGAAGAACAAAUGUGUAAGUAACUAUGCACGUCUUGACGGUACCUAAUCAGAAAGCCACGGCUAACUACGU
rnacentral:rRNA from 1 species